CCUACGGGGGGCAGCAGUGAGGAAUAUUGGUCAAUGGACGCAAGUCUGAACCAGCCAUGCCGCGUGCAGGAAGACGGCUCUAUGAGUUGUAAACUGCUUUUGUACGAGGGUAAACGCAGAUACGCGUAUCUGUCUGAACGUAUCGUACGAAUAAGGAUCGGCUAACUCCGUGCCAGCAGCCGCGGUAAUACGGAGGAUUCAAGAGUUAUCCGGAUUUAUUGGGUUUAAAGGGUGCGUAGGCGGUACGUAAAGUCUGGUGUUAAAGGCAGAGGCUCAACUUCUGUACGGCACUGGAUACUUGCGAGCUAGAAUGCGGUAGAGGUAAAGGGAAUUCCUGGUGUAGCGGUGAAAUGCUUAGAUAUCAGGAGGAACAUCGGUGGCGUAAGCGCUUUACUGGGCCGUAAUUGACGCUGAGGAACGAAAGCCAGGGUAGCAAAUGGGAUUAGAUACCCGAGUAGUC
rnacentral:rRNA from 1 species